UACGAAGGGGGCUAGCGUUGCCCGGAAUUACUGGGCGUAAAGCGCACGUAGGCGGCUCUUUAAGUCGGAGGUGAAAUCCUGGAGCUCAACUCCAGAACUGCCCUCGAUACUGAAGAGCUCGAGUCCGGGAGAGGUGAGUGGAACUGCGAGUGUAGAGGUGAAAUUCGUAGAUAUUCGCAAGAACACCAGUGGCGAAGGCGGCUCACUGGCCCGGUACUGACGCUGAGGUGCGAAAGCGUGGGGAGCAAACAGG
rnacentral:rRNA from 1 species